CCCGCCCGGGACUGCUCCUCGGCAGCAGAUGCCUGGCUCCCACCGCCCUACCCGGCGCCGGCGAUCCGGCCACCUCGGAGGGCACGCUCAGACACCCCGAGGUCCGGCCACCUCAGUGGGUGCACUGGGCACCCCGUGUUCCGACCACACGGCUAGGCGCGCUGGCCACUCGGGUGGGCGUGCUGGGCUUCUCUGCGGCGGAAGUCUGGACCACGGCGUGUGACUCCCGUUCUAGCAGUCGAUGUUCCGACACAUGACCGCUGCCCUUCUGCCCGAGAGUAGUUCAAACUGAAGGGAAGGAAACAUAUGUGCCGGGUCUGACAUCCUGAACCAGAAGUCUGAGAGCAGGUUCUGAAUGCGGCACACGAGGCUGUCUUACAGUGAGGAUGGCAGACCAUUAAAGGAUCUGUGCCAUGAGCCCUUCCACAGGAGAUUGUCUCUUACUGAACCUGGAACUCCCAGAUUGAGCUAGAGUUGCUGUUGAGAAACUCCCGGGAACCUCUUGUCUUCCACCCCUCGACAUUUAUAAUACAGAGGCACCCGUGGGUCAUCAACUGUCUGCUGUCCCAGGACCUCCCCGCAGGCGGCUCAGGUAUGGCAGAGUUGACCCCUCCUCCAUCGGCCGCUCCAGGGACCUCCAGCACGGUGUAGUGGGACAGCUGGUGUUGUGAAUCAGGCCGUUGCCAAUCAAAGAACGGCUACUUCACAACACCAGGGUCACACUGCACCACAGGCAGCGAGCGUCGAGGGUCCGGACACCUGAGCGCCUGGACAACCAGCCUGUGAGACAACCUCCCCGUCCCCAGGUCAUUCCAGGACUCCUCCAGCAGGCUGCAGACCCCAGUGGUGACUCUUCAUCAUCUGCCCUGAUGGGGCAGCUGAAGCUGCUGUUUAUUGCAACACAAAUAGCUCAGCUUCACGAGAGAGAGCACCACUCCAGGCAGCAUCGGCUUCCCACAAAGGCGGCAGGCAAACAGGUCUCUUAGGGCAAGGGAAGAUGUCUGUAGGCCCUUAGAAAGGCUGAGCAACCUCAACUGAAUGUAAAACACAUGCAGGCUAUAGGACCAGGUCCUUUUCCCUUUCCCCCUCCCCCCCCUUUUUUGUUUCCUUUCUUUUUUUGUUUUUUCUGUCUUUUAUUUUUCCUUUUAAAAAUUGUGUGUGUGUGUGUGUGUAAGCCAGAGGUAUCUUCUUCAAUUCUCUCUUUUUAAAACUGUAUUUGUUAUUUAUGUGUAUGUGCCUGUGUGUGUUUAUGUGUGCUACAUGCGUCGGAUCUCCUGAAAUGAGCAGCCACGUGAGUCCUGGGAACCGAACCACAGCUCUGUGCACGAGCAGCAAGCAUUCUUAAACCUCAGAAUCCUCUCAUUUUGUUUGUGUGUGUGUGCAUUCACACCCAUGUGUGUUGAUGCUAUAACAUGCAUGCAAAGCAGUGGUUCUCAACCUCUUAGGGGUCAAACUGCCUUUUCAUAGGAGUCGCCUAAGACUAUUGGGAAAACACAGACAUUUACAUCAAGAUUCAUAACAGCAGCAGAAUUACGAUUGUGAAGUUGUUACAAAAAUAAUCUUGUGGUUGGGGAGUCACCACAACAUGAGGAACUGUAUUAAAGGGUCAUGGCAUUAGGAAGGUUGAGAGCCGCUGGUGUAGAGGUCAGAGAAGAACUUGCAAGAGUUGUGGGACUCGGGCUUGGCAGCAAGUGCCUUUACCUGCUGAGCUGUCUCAUCCAACCUCCGCUUUAUUUUCUUGAUAGAGCCUCUUGCUGAGCAUGGAGCUCGCGCAUUCGUCUGGACUGGCUGGUCGGCAAGUCCUGGGGACGCUCCUGACAUUGCCUCCCCAGAGGUGGCAUUACUGGAGUGUGUCACCGAGCCUGGCUUUUGUGUAGGUGGGGGGGGGGAGUCUGCUCCAGAUCUUCCUGCCAUCAAGCUCUUUACUGGCUUAGCCAUCUCCCCAGCCUGUUUUGAUAUUGGCACCAGUAUCUUUGCCCUGGCAAUAGAGGGAGGGAGAACCUGGUUAAGGGGUGAUGGCCUUAAAUGGUGACUCCGCUAUAACCUUCAAAGGGCUCUGCUACAGGGGCAGCCCGUGUUUCCUCCCAAAUGGUCCCAGAUUCCCUAAGCGGCUGACUCCAUCCUUUGAGAGCAAGAUUUCCACAACUCUCCCCUGCACACUUGCCAGUGACACACAAGAGCCAAGCACUAGGCAGGCGUCGCAGGGCACUGAGAUGUCUGAGGCUCCUGUUGCUUGUUUUGGCAAGUGGUUUCCUAGCCCCAGGACUUGACGACCUAAGGUCUCCUGAACUUGAGUAUUUUUGUACCUAACAAAUCUUACUUGUGACGCUACUCUUGAGAGCCCAGGCAGGCUCUCGAGAGCUGUAUGGCAUCCCUUCUGAAGUACCAAGGAAGAAUAAGAUCUCCCUCUCUGCUUUGUAGGACAAAGAGCCGCGGCACCCCGAUGAACUCUGUACUGUAGGCUUUUUGCUGGGGCUCCAUAGGAAGCAGGAGCGGAGAGGACCAAGGCCUGUGCAAACACCGCCCAGCAUGAAGGCCACCCAGACAGGUCCUGGGCCGCUUGUGUCUCUGUCAUCUUAGAGCCUGGAAUAAGAGGCUCUCGCUUCCUAUAGCCUCCUGUCCCCCACCCCACUCCUGAGCCCCUGAGGGCACUUGUGGCAUUUGUACUAAAUUAUGUUUACCUUCUAAGCAACAGGAGCCCCCCGUUCUCAGACACACCUACCACCUUAGAAUACACAACAGGCCUGCUCUCUCUGAGAGCUCUUCCUGACUCCCUGGCACCACAGGGUUGAGACCAGCACCACUCAUGGCCUGGUCUCUGAGCACAGCUUCAGCGCGGGCACACAUGGAACCCUUGGCCCCAUGCCCCCUGCUGCGUCAGACUCUCUAGCGGGGACAGCGAGCCAGGUGGUGACUGUGGCAGCAGUCUGUCCAGGGUUCCUUCACUACUUGUCCCUGAGGCCUCCCUGCAUCCUCUCCAGCAUCCGUUCCAAACCCACAUUUUCCUGUAUGCUCGUAAUCAUCUUCUCGAGACACACCUUCAGUCCCUCCACAGGCCUACAGCUACCUGCAAGGGCUUGGCAUCACCCUCCCCACAGAGCGACUGGUGAGGGGUACAGAGCCUUACUUCCUCCCUGAAGUCCAUCUCCUGAGCCCCGGUGCCAUGAUGCUGAGGAGCUGGUCAUUCCCAGGGACCCUGAAAAGUCACUUUAUUCUCAGAAUCUUUCACCUUGGCGUCUUUAACCAGGGGCCCCCUCCCCCACUAACACACAGUCAUUGGUAAGAGGUUUUAACCUUGCUUGAAGGGCUUCAUAAUGGAACCUUAUUUAAAACCUUAUAAAAUAUAAAUGGGGUCAUAGCCGGAGAAAAUGAGGGAAUCAUAUAAGACCUAGAAGAAAGUAGACUUGAAUUUGGUUGGCACGAUACCCGUAAGUUCUGAGGUUUAUGUGUGACCUUCAAACGCCAAAGCUGCAAAUUCAGAUGAGGAGCCCCUCAGAACUCAGUGUUUGGGAGAACACAACUUUGGGCUCAGAACAUUCCAGACCCUCUGCUUGGGUGGACCUAUCAGAAGCAAGGCCAUUCAGCCUGUUUUCUGUAGCCUUCUCUUAGCAGUCAUGCCAUUGGAAGUGGUAAGUUCAGAGUCUCUACAUCAUAAACCCUGUGAGACUUACAUUUGCAGCAAGCUACAUUCCAAAUAGCAGAUUCUCUAGCAUGGCCCAACGCAGACCACAAAAGGCUGUGGACACAGUGGGCUUCUCUCUCUCUCUCUCUCUCUCUCUCUCUCUCUCUCUCUCUCUCUCUCUCUCUCUCUCUCUCUCUCUCUCUCUCUCUCUCUCUCUCUCUCUCUCUCCUCCUCCUUACAGAUUGGCUACCAUCUGCUGGUCAGUAUUUUUGUAAUGCUGAAUACCAAAUAGCAUGGUAUUUUUCAAUUGUGUUUCUGGGACUGGCGACCUUAUCAGCACCCAUGGGAACUUCCUGGGUGUGCAACUGACCAGCCCUACCCUGACUGUGCUGAAUGUUGGCCAGCACCCCAAGGAGCUCCAAAUCAUAUUGAUAGAAAGAAAAAGAAAAAUCUGGCCAUGACAGUGCACACCUUUAACACAUCCACACACAAUCACCCAACCAAGCCGGCGAGACCCUGUUGGAAAGGAAAUGACUUCAGCACUAUGCGACAGGGAAGCUUCCCAGGCCUCCAUCGAAGCAGUAUGAGGUGCUUAUGGCUUUCACCGAACAUUGAAUAGCAGUUUUCUAAAUCCAUUUUCCCAAAUCUUAGGAGUAAAUCUCCAGAUGCCCUGGGCUAUGGAGUCCUGACCUUUCCUGUGUUCUGAAUAAAUAUGCCCGGGGCAUGUUUGACCCCUGCACCGGGGACGCCUUAGCUUCUCUUCACUCACACGCUGCACACUGCAAAGCAUUCACGUUCUGCACUCCGGGCUUGCAGCAACCUCAUUCUAAGAGGACCUGAGGACUGCGAGGUUCGAUAACCUGCCCCCAGGCCCUUGCAAUCAUGAAGCUGCUGUCUCCGGUGCUUUGCUUGGCCCUGCCUUAGAUUUGACCCCUCUUUCAUGAACAAAUAUGAAACGGAGAAGCCAGAAUGUCCAUGGGAUCAGAGAAAAACCACUUACAAUCAGCCCCUAACAGAAAACCCUGACCCGAAGACUAUACACUAGGCCGUGACUGCAACUAAAUGUGAGCAGCUCGUGACUCUCUGACCUCGGGGUGAGUUUGUUGUCGUCCUUGUUAUCUUGGUGGCCCUGACCUUUAUGCCCACCUUGUGGGUGAUAUCACAGAUUCAAUGGAUAAAUCAGAGGUAAACAUCUUUCCAGCCCUGAGCCACAGCUUCUCUCAGUGGGUACUGACCCGGGCAAAUUUUUACACACACACACACACACCUUUUUUUCCCUAAGAAAAACAGUAAUUUAGACCAAGAGUUCUGACCUUUUCCGUCGUGUGCACUGUGGUGAGACCAGGAGGAAGCUGUGUUCCGCUUCCCAUUGCAACCCAGGAAGCUGCACACACAGUUAAUGACGAGGGAAGAGUGUGUGGGCCUUGACGACAGAACCAGAGUCCAAGCAAGGUCUUCCCCAUAAUUCUGACUUUCAGAGGAAAAAUCGUCUGACCUGCCCGCUCCCUCUGUCCCCUAAACAAAACAAAACAAAAAAAAAACUUCUCAGUGAGUGUCACACAGGGUUUGAAAGGCUGUUUUUAAAGACAUUAUCUUGAAAGGACUGGAGAGAGCACGAAAUGGCAAAGAGCUUGCUGUGCAAGCCCUGGGACCCCAGCUUGGUCCCCAGCGUCCUCGUGGUGCUGAGAGGCAGAGACAGGUGGACCUCUGGAGCUUGCUAGAAAGCCACCUGAACAGCAACAUCGUACAGCCAAGGAAGUGGGUCAGGAGAGCUAAGGGGCCUGCCCUGGGCCACACAGCCUGGCCCUUUGUCUCCAGAACCAAAGCUUUUCAUGAUGUAGGACACAGGCAGUGGCCCCAGUACCCUGGUGAUAGUCACCAUGUGCUAAACAUUUGUGCUGUCCCAGAGCCCAGAGCACCCUGGGGAGGGAAGCAGCCUCCUUACAUGAGGACCAGGCUCAGAGCAAUGGAAACACUGGCUCAGGGUCCCAUAACUUGGCGGUAGGUUAUCACACCCUGGGGAGGGGUGCUAUUUGCCUACCUAAAGGGUGUUCUGCACACACUUGGUGACCAGCUCCUGCCACCCACCCCAGGCUGUAGAAGUGACUGAUUUCAAAGGUUCCCAACUGUCCCUUAGCCUGGGGCUUGGGAACAGCCUGCUGGAAGUGAGAAGAAUGAAAAGUUUAAGCAACCAUCAAUCAUGCCUUGUAGGAGUAGAGGCUACGUGGUCCCAUGGCAGUCACCCAUGACCUCAUUUCCUCCAGCUGAACCGCGUCCCCAAGGGCAGGGUGCACUGUCUUCUUCGUUGCAUGGGUGUCCCCAAAGCCAGCACAGUAGGGCUCAGAACACAGUUGGUGUUCAGUGCAAGGCUGUUCUAUGAGCAAUCAGGGGUUCCUCUGCUGUCCCUGCUGGGAUGCUGAAAGCCCUCCCCAGGGACCCAGCCUGCCGAAUCUGGAUGAUUCUCAUGGGAGACUCACGGACUAUCUUCAUGUUAGCUCAGCUCAGCAGAACAGGAAGGUCUCUUGGGGUCCAAAAGCCCCGUAUCGCUAAUCGGGGCACUAAAGCCUUAAGCAGAGGCCUCUAGCGGUGACCCUGUGGCUGUCACGGAUGGGCGUUGCUGAACUUACUAAAGACAGGAAACAGCUUCUCUGCUACCUUUCAUGGACCUGAAAGUCAGCCGGGCUCCUGUGUCACAUGGUACCGAUUCCAUCAACAGGGUGCACAGCCAUCGCGGUGUCAGGUAAGCCUCUGGAACCAGCCAGGCAGUGGUGGCACACGCCUUUAAUCCCAGCACUCGGGAGGCAGAGGCAGGUGGAUCUCUGUGAGUUCGAGGCCAGCCUGGUCUACAAGAGUGAGUUCCAGGACAGCCUCCAAAGCCACAGAGAAACCCUGUCUCGAAAAACCAAAAAAAAAAAAAAAGCCUCUGGAACCCAGAGUGUGGGGUUCUUCUGCCCCCCGUCACCUGGCUCUGUACCUGGCAUGUAGCAUUUGCAGAACAUACGGCUCAGCAUUUCAUACAGUGUCCUGCUGGGUUUAGCAUGUAGGAUGCUUACGUUCCUUAGUAAUAGAACAUGGGCACACAGCCGAGUGGAUGGUACUGCCAGCCUGGAGAAAGUACCUCUCUCUAUGCAGGCACUGUGAAAGUGAAAUGACAUGAUCUAGGACCUACAGGGGAGGUCUCAACAUCGUCAUUUGCAGCCAAAGGCUAACCCAGCUGUUCCAUCCGAAUUGUUAACUGGAUCAAGAAUCCAGGAAGCAAGGAGCUCAUGCAAAAAUCCGGGCAUGUUAUCAAAAGCUUUGACCCUGUCCAUCUGUGCUGCCACCCUGCUGUGAUCAUACAGUGGAUGCUAUCCUUCUAGUCAGCACCUCCAUAUUCCAAGAGGAAGAAAAGGGAGCUGGAGGGGCCAGUAAUGUCCCCUCCUUUCAUCAGAUGAUGCCACCUUCCCAGGGACAUUCCAACACAGCAGACUUGAAAAACCUGGGCAGAACUCCAUCCCUGGGUCCCAGAACUGGACACUGGGGAAAGUUGGGGUGUCACUAUAGGGAAUAAAAAGCUAUAGCAGCAAGAGAAGAUGAUCCCCAACACCCUCAUUGCUGCCAACCAGCAGCAGCUAAGGGAACUCAACUGGUUUUUAACAUAGCAACUGUUUUGUGGGGCUUCCUACAAAAGCAGUAGGUGUGUAUAGUCAUUUAAAAGCAUAAAGUGUAAGAGGCUGGAGGGACAGACAGCUCAGCAGUUAAGUGCACUUGCUGUCCUUCCAAGGAACCCAGGUUUGAUUCUUAGCACUCAGGUGGCAUCUUAGAACCAGCUUAACUCUGGUUCUAGGGGAUAUGACACCCUCUUCUGGCUUCCACAGGUGCUGCAUGCACAUGGUACAAAUAUAUACAUGCAGACAAACACUCAUACAUUCAAAAUAAAAAUAAUUUUUUAGCUGCCAGGCUGACUUGUGUGGUGGAGGGUGGGGAGGGAUCUAAAAUCUCCAUACUCCUUCACAACAGGCUGCUCAUCUGACUCUGCAUACUUAACAGGGACAGGAACACAUGGGAGGACAGGGCCGCAUGGGAGGGCGGGACCGCAUGGGAGGGGCUCUGAAAGUGCCUUUCUGGAAGUACGAGAAAAUCCAGCUCGUGAAAUGCUCUUUGCUGACUGCUUUGUGCUGCAUACUCCCUUGAAGAAGGUGUUGUUUGCCCGGUCCCUUGGUAUUAAUCGUUCCGAUGUAAUAAAAGAUAAAAUGGGAGAAGCUGACCCAGGGCUUCUCACAGCUAAAUCUUGGGUCCAGUAUCUCCCUUCUUAGACUGUGACAAAGACACUUCUGAGAGCUUCUGAAUAUGAGCCAAGUUGCUUUCCUUGUGGGGGACUCAGCGUACCAGGCCCACUAACAGAUACAGGUGCCCAUUUCCCGCAAACUUUUCACCAACCUGAGAAACGGGUCACAGGGAAGCAGGCCCAUCUGACGUCAGAAGGAAGCACUUGCACAGGCCUGAGCCAAGCCUAGCCCUGGAACCGAGGCCUCAGAGCCAGAGUCAAGCCCCAGGCUCCCAGCCUUGGGGACGCGGUGGUCAUGGGGCAGGCUCUGCGAGUGGAAGGCCCCGGGUGUGUUAGGGACCUUGCACACACAGCUUUGACUCCAGCUCAGCAUGAUGUUGCCACUGUAGCUGUGUGACCUUUGGCUUCUCACCAAACUUUUCUAGCCCCAGCAGACAGGAGAAAUAGCGCCUAAGGAUGUCUCCGGUCUCCAAUUGUCGACUGCAGUGUGUCCCCCUAAGAGUGUAUGAUGGAGCUCUGGGCCUUUGAAUAGGACCUUUGGAGAAGCAAUUAAUACUAAACAAGGUCAUUAGGGUAGGGCUUUCAUCCAAGACAACCAGUAUCCUCAAAAAUAGAGGCUCUAGUGAAAGCCUUAUGAGGCCACAGCGGGGUUGUAUCUGUCUGCAAGCAGGAGAGGCCCUGGGAGUCAGCAAACCCACAUGCACCCUGGUCCUGGACCUCUGGACUCCAAACGGAGAAGCAUUUAACAACGCCUGCUGCUUUAGCUAACCUACUGGUGAGUUGUGUUAUGAAAGCCCUGGGCCAUGAGGUGCCCACGGCGCUACUUCUCCCGAAACCUGAGUCACAGGUGCCACAUACUGAAACUGAAGUCAGAUUCUUUCCAUAAAUCUCAAAUAUACACAUGGCAGGUGCAACACACACACUACCAGCACCCCAGCCACCGCUGAGCUCCCUAGACUUGUGCCUCUGUGUUACCCCAGCCCUCCUAAGCCCCUGUCAGCUGGUAAGGGCCUGGGAGCUAAGGCCUCCCUCUCCUCCUACAACCCCAGCUUCCUUCCGCCAUGGAGGAGGGGGCGGCAGUCACUGCACACCCCGCACAGCUCCCCGGCCCUCUCCUGCAGAUGGAGCCCCAUUGCCUAUAGUGCCCCUAAAAGAUUCAUCCCUUCCUUCUCUCAAAUAAACGGCGGUCUCAGCGUCUGCUUUGAGGGAUCCAAA